AACGAACGCUGGCGGCAGGCUUAACACAUGCAAGUCGAGCGCCCCGCAAGGGUAGCGGCAGACGGGUGAGUAACGCGUGGGAAUCUACCCAUCUCUACGGAAUAACGCAUGGAAACGUGUGCUAAUACCGUAUACGUCCUUCGGGAGAAAGAUUUAUCGGCGAUGGAUGAGCCCGCGUUGGAUUAGCUAGUUGGUGGGGUAAAGGCCUACCAAGGCGACGAUCCAUAGCUGGUCUGAGAGGAUGAUCAGCCACACUGGGACUGAGACACGGCCCAGACUCCUACGGGAGGCAGCAGUGGGGAAUAUUGGACAAUGGGCGCAAGCCUGAUCCAGCCAUGCCGCGUGAGUGAUGAAGGCCCUAGGGUUGUAAAGCUCUUUCACCGGUGAAGAUAAUGACGGUAACCGGAGAAGAAGCCCCGGCUAACUUCGUGCCAGCCGCCGCGGUAAAAC
rnacentral:rRNA from 1 species